rnacentral:lncRNA from 1 species
AGAAGGGAAUUCUGGCAGAACCACUUCUGGACCUGUCCCUCUGCACCCCCCAUUCCUGCGCCCUCAUUUAACCUCCCUGACUCUGACCUGGGCUUGGUCUAUCUUGGGGCCUGGCUGCCGUCCUGGGACGGGAAGGGGAGCAGAUCAGAACUCAGCCUGCGGCUCCAGGCCGCUGGGCGCUGGCUGGGCCUCACGUUCUCCUGGAAGGACCACCUCCCUUGCCCUCCACGGGGUCUGCCUUUGCUCCCAAGGCUCCGCCCUGGACGGAGCGUCCUUCUUGCCUGGGCGUCUUCAGACCUUCAUCUGUGACACCGGGGGCCAUGUGGCUCACCCCGAGGAAGAGACGAGGACUCGCUGUGUUGGCUGUUCUUGAGCUUCUGGGCUCAAGCAAUCCUCCCUCCUGAGCUUCCCAGAGUGCUAGGAUUACAGGUGUGAGCCACUGAGCCCAGCCCAUUUUCUUUUUUUUUUUUUUCCUGGCUUCCUUUCCUCCCUGUCUCCCUGGCCUACCCUUCCUCUUCCCUCAGCUGUUCCUUCCCUUUCUCUCCAGUGAAGACUAAGGGCCAAGCAUGAGCCUUUCUUCCUGCUCUUUUACCCUUGAGGCAGCAGGAGAGGAUAUUCACCUCCUGACAUGACAGAUUCUGACGCUAUCUGCUCCUCUGUGACUUUGGGAAGCGGGGUAUGUGCUGCUCCUGGGCUGAUGGGGGAAAGUGCCUCUCCCAGCAAUGCUGGUGCCACUUGGUGUGCUACGGCCCCCCAGGGCAGUGCGGAGCCAUCUGGGACAGUUAGACAAUGAGAGACGUGAAGCCAUUUCAAGGUGCUUCCUUGAAAAUGCUCCAGAAAAACAGCAGAGGCGGCCUCUCUGGGGAUCCGGUCCAGCCCUUGAAAAGAAUCUGUUUGUUUCACCACUGAACUCAAAUAAGCCAACAGAUUGAAGGAAGGGAGUUUCCACGCGCCCCUCCCCACCAAGCAGUUACCUGAGUUCCAGAGUCCAGUCCGAUGGAUCCCAUUUUACCCUGGUUUAAAUUGUUUCCUUAGAAAAAAAUAAACAGAACCUCUUCUCUCACUCUCCAGUGGAAAGUAUAGAAUCAAACGUAAAUGAAAAUGACAGUUUCUAACAUGCGCGACCUGGACACGCGGCUGAACUCCGAGCCUCAGCUGCAGAGUGGGGUCAAUGCACCUACCUUGCAGCGUCACUGUGAGGAUCCACACAACAGAAAUAAACUGCUUAGUGUGUAGUAGGAGCCUCAAAAAUGAUGAUUCAAAAGCACCAGCCUGUCACAUUCAUCCCCUGCUCAAAAACUCUCCCUGCCUUUCCUAGCGCCUAAUGGACAGAUAUUAGUUCAGAAACACUUUAUAACUAAGUGGCCAUAGAGGCAGGCCUGAAGCCUAUUUUCAUUUUCUGUUUCAGUUUCUGAAUCUGUUCUUAUUUAGUCUUCCCUUAAAGGCUAUCUGGCGCCUCCGUGAUGCUUAAUCAGGACAAGCUUGCAGAUGGGUACAGGUUGCAGGCCCUUGCCUCUCUUCCCUUAACCCCACAGCAGCCAGUAAACCACCUGGACACAGAAAGAGACCCACAUAUUCUCUAAAAUGCCUGAAUGGAACAAUCUAGAAUCUAAGCAUUCCUUAUAGGAACAGAGACUACUGUAAGAUGCGGGAUAGUAAGAAGGCAGCCUAGACUCUUCAAAAGGACAAUGUUUUAAAAAAAAUGAAGUGGAGGGAUGAUUCAAGAUUAAAAGAGAGUGAAGAAAUGAGGCCAACCAGAUGCAGUGUACAGACUUGGGCCACAGUGGGGGAGGUGACAGCAGACGGUUUGGUGGGAAGGAACGCACCAGAGCCCCAUGGGCCUGCCUGGCCAGCUCGCUUGGUCAUCCUGGUAAAACAGCAGAGCUCUCUGUUCCAAGAGGCCCACGCGCAGCCCCACAUGCCUGCUGAUCUGUGUACACACGUGUGUGCACUCUAGCAAGCCUCACUUUAAUUGUGAAGAAACAUGGGAACCGGUGCUCCCACCCGGGCUGUGGGAGUGUGGUGCGGUGGGGCCUGGACACGGGGAGGGUCCGAAGUGGGGCCAGCUCCCUGGAGUCAGGCAUGUCUGUCUCAAGCUGCCCCUGUCCCUUGCUGAAUGGGAACCCCCACCAGCUGCCUCGGGAGCCCGUGUCCUUACACUCUAUUCGGAUCUGCUCCAGCUCCGUCACCUCAGCAAUGGACUCCUUCAGGUCCUCCACGAACUUCUGCAUCUCGUCCGAGCCCAGGGCACAGAAAUGCAGCACCUGCUUCUUCUCGGAGCCCGAGAGCGGGGUCACCAGUGUGAUGCCAUGAGAGUAAUCUGGAAAGCAGACCCCAGGCCCCCAGUGGGCUGUGAGCAGCAGCAGCCGAGGGCCAGAGCCAGCCAGACAUGAGGAGGGCACGGGGUCUCAUGCCUCCACCCACUCUGCUGUCCAGCCCUUCUCCCUCAACUCGCCCCAGCCAUUUCAUCCAUUCAUUCCUUCUCAAAGACUUACACUGGCUGUCAAAGACUUACACUCGUUCUCAAAGAGCUGGAACUGCAUGCCCAGCAGGCCAACUGACUUGCAAAAGGUGUACGUGGAGGAGCUCUUCUUCUUCGGGCAAAGUUUGAGAAUCUGUUCAGGAGAGGGAAACAGGCAUGCCCUGAUGAACAGACACUCACGGACACAUGGAUGCACAAACACCCGGGGGAUGCACGAUCACACAAACCCACGCAGUGAUGAAUGUGCACAUACAGCAGCUUCUGUGAGCUGAGCCCUGGAGAUACAGGAGAACUCAGGACAGAGCCCCUGCCCUUAAGGUGCUUAUGGAAUGUGGAGUGUCACAGUGUCCAUCAGGUGAUCAAACAAUAAAGCAUAACAGCAAAAAAACAAAA